CUCUAUUAUUAAAAUCAAAUGUAUCCCAUUACAAAGCCAAAGCUCUGUUUAUAUAAUCCUUCCUUUAGACAAUUCCCAAAAGGAAAAGGAUACUAUAAACCCUAUUUAAAAAGGAAAUAUAACUUUUAAAAGAAAAAUAUGUAAAACCAAAUCCUAUAUCGAUAAAGCUAAAGUAUUAUUCAAACUUAUGAUGUUGGCGCCAAAGGCGUAUCCGAUGCUGCAUCAUCUUGCUUAUGUGUUCCUUCCCGAUCUAAUUUUCCUCUGUUGGCGUCGCUAUUCUUUGUUGUCGUAUAUAAAACUCUUUUUUGAAAUCUCUGAGACGUAGUUGUUUAUAGAAUAGAGGAGCUGAUUUGAGGGACAAAUAAAUGGUUGAAAGAAUCUGAAGAGAUUAUUAAUUGAAGAUGUUUGAUAACUUUGCUUAACAGUCAAUGAAACUGAGAUCAAGAGAAUCGAGAACGUCAAAGGUCCUAAACUAGAUGUUCUCGCCUAAAAUUAUUUUGUGUGUUUUUGUUUUAAAUAAACUAAAUUUGGGAUAUUUUCUUAUUUUGAUUGGUUAGGACAUAAAUUGAUUGGUCAAGAGGGGUUGUGGUUAUGGAGAUUUGCAGGGAUAAACGGAGAAGACGAAGUGUGUGAACCAAAUCGAUCGACCCCUCCGUUCUGUGAAAGGUGUAAGAAACAAAUAUUUUAGGAGUUCAAAACUAGCCUUUCUGAAAUAUAUCAUGAGCCUACAUAAAAACCCAGAAUUUAUUAAU
rnacentral:lncRNA from 1 species